UACAGAGGGGGCAAGCGUUAUUCGGAAUUAUUGGGCGUAGAGGGCGCGUAGGCGGCAUCGCAAGUGGAAGGUGAAAUCCCUCGGCUUAACCGAGGAACUGCCCUCCAAACUGCGUUGCUUGAGGCCGGGAGAGGUGAGUGGAAUUCCCAGUGUAGCGGUGAAAUGCGCAGAUAUCAGGAGGAACACCGGUGGCGAAGGCGGAUCUCUGGGCCUUACCUGACGCUCAGGUGCGAAAGCUAGGGGAGCGAACAGG
rnacentral:rRNA from 1 species